GUGUUUGCUAUGGCAGCACAUAUACAAAAACCAGAACAAUACAGGGAAGAUGAGCAUGGCACCAGCACAAGGAUGACAUGUAAAUUGGUGAAGGGUUCCAUAUUUGU
rnacentral:snRNA from 1 species